rnacentral:rRNA from 1 species
UCCAGACUCCUACGGGAGGCAGCAGUGGGGAAUAUUGGGCAAUGGGCGAAAGCCUGACCCAGCAAUGCCGCGUGAAUGAAGAAGGUCUUAGGAUUGUAAAAUUCUGUCCUAUGGGAAGAAACAAAUGACGGUACCAUAGGAGGAAGCCCCGGCUAACUACGUGCCAGCAGCCGCGGUAAUACGUAGGGGGCAAGCGUUAUCCGGAUUUACUGGGUGUAAAGGGAGCGUAGGCGGUUUAGCGAGUCAGAAGUGAAAGCCCGGGGCUCAACUCCGGGACUGCUUUUGAAACUGUUGAACUAGAUUGCAGGAGAGGUAAGUGGAAUUCCUAGUGUAGCGGUGAAAUGCGUAGAUAUUAGGAGGAACACCAGUGGCGAAGGCGGCUUACUGGACUGUAAAUGACGCUGAGGCUCGAAAGCGUGGGGAGCAAACAGGAUUAGAUACCCCAGUA